rnacentral:rRNA from 1 species
UACGUAGGGGGCUAGCGUUAUCCGGAUUUACUGGGCGUAAAGGGUGCGUAGGCGGUCUUUCAAGUCAGGAGUGAAAGGCUACGGCUCAACCGUAGUAAGCUCUUGAAACUGUAAGACUUGAGUGCAGGAGAGGAGAGUGGAAUUCCUAGUGUAGCGGUGAAAUGCGUAGAUAUUAGGAGGAACACCAGUUGCGAAGGCGGCUCUCUGGACUGUAACUGGACACUGAGGCACGAAAGCGUGGGGAGCAAACAGGAUUAGAUACCCGGGUAGUCCCUGA